CCUAACACAUGCAGUCGAACGGUAACAGGAAGAAGCUUGCUUCUUUGCUGACGAGUGGCGGACGGGUGAGUAAUGUCUGGGAAACUGCCUGAUGGAGGGGGAUAACUACUGGAAACGGUAGCUAAUACCGAUAACGUCGCAAGACAAAGAGGGGGACCUUCGGGCCUCUUGCCAUCGGAUGUGCCCAGAUGGGAUUAGCUAGUAGGUGGGGUAACGGCUCACCUAGGCGACGAUCCCUAGCUGGUCUGAGAGGAUGACCAGCCACACUGGAACUGAGACACGGUCCAGACUCCUACGGGAGGCAGCAGUGGGGAAUAUUGCACAAUGGGCGCAAGCCUGAUGCAGCCAUGCCGCGUGUAUGAAGAAGGCCUUCGGGUUGUAAAGUACUUUCAGCGGGGAGGAAGGGAGUAAAGUUAAUACCUUUGCUCAUUGACGUUACCCGCAGAAGAAGCACCGGCUAACUCCGUGCCAGCAGCCGCGGUAAUACGGAGGGUGCAAGCGUUAAUCGGAAUUACUGG
rnacentral:rRNA from 1 species